UACGUAGGGGGCUAGCGUUGUCCGGAUUUAUUGGGCGUAAAGAGCGUGUAGGCGGCCAGGUAGGUCUGCUGUGAAAACUCGAGGCUCAACCUCGAGACGUCGGCGGAAACCAUCUGGCUAGAGCCCGGAAGAGGAGAGUGGAAUUCCUGGUGUAGCGGUGAAAUGCGCAGAUAUCAGGAAGAACACCCGUGGCGAAGGCGGCUCUCUGGGACGGUACUGACGCUGAGACGCGAAAGCGUGGGGAGCGAACAGG
rnacentral:rRNA from 1 species